rnacentral:rRNA from 1 species
UACGGGGGGGGCAAGCGUUGUUCGGAAUUACUGGGCGUAAAGGGCGCGUAGGCGGCCUGCUAAGUCGGAUGUGAAAUCCCUCGGCUCAACCGAGGAACUGCAUCCGAUACUGGCGGGCUUGAAUCCGGGAGAGGGAUGUGGAAUUCCAGGUGUAGCGGUGAAAUGCGUAGAUAUCUGGAGGAACACCGGUGGCGAAGGCGGCAUCCUGGACAAGAGCUGACACUCAACUGCGAAAGCGUGGGGAGCAAACAGG